rnacentral:rRNA from 1 species
UACGUAGGCAGCGAGCGUUGUUCGGAGUUACUGGGCGUAAAGGGUGCGUAGGCGGUUUUCCAAGUUUGGUGUGAAAUCUCCCGGCUCAACUGGGAGGGUGCGCCGAAAACUGGAGGACUGGAGUACCGGAGAGGUAAGCGGAAUUCCUGGUGUAGCGGUGAAAUGCGUAGAGAUCAGGAGGAACACCUGUGGUGUAGACAGCUUACUGGACGGUCACUGACGCUGAGGCACGAAAGCGUGGGUAGCAAACAGG